rnacentral:tRNA from 1 species
GCCUAGUUAGCUUGAAAGCCAAAGCUUCUGCCUUGUAAACGCUAGGUUGCGGGUUCGAUUCCCGUCCAGGGCG